rnacentral:rRNA from 1 species
CCUACGGGAGGCUGCAGUGAGGAAUAUUGGGCAAUGGGCGCGAGCCUGAACCAGCCAAGUAGCGUGAAGGAUGACUGCCCUACGGGUUGUAAACUUCUUUUAUAAAGGAGUAAAGUGAGGCUCGUGUGCCUUUUUGUAUUUACUUUAUGAAUAAGGAUCGGCUAACUCGGUGCCAGCAGCCGAGGUAAUACGGAGGGUUCGAGCGUUGUACGGAUUUAUUGGGUUUAAGGGGAGCGUAGAUGGGUUGUUAAGUCAGUUGUGAAAGGUUGCGGCUCAACCGUAAAAUUGCAAUUGAUACUGGCAGUCUUGAGUACAGUUGAGGUAGGCGGAAUUCGUGGUGUAGCGGUGAAAUGCUUAGAUAUCACGAAGAACUCCGAUUGCGAAGGCAGCUUACUAAACUGCCACUGACAUUGAUGCUCGAAAGUGUGGGUAUCAAACAGGAUUAGAUACCCGGGUAGUC